UUAUUUUCCUGUCUUGAAAUGGAGAAGAAUGUGUUACAGAAAUCGUUUACCUUGAAUGAUAGCGACAAAGAUUUCAAGACUAAAACAUACCAAUAUGUCUGUGCUCUACUGAAUAGCGGCGGCGGUACACUGAUACUGAAAACCAAAAAGACGGCCGAUGAAAUCAUCCGUCCGAUUGAGCAGCGUUUUCAGAAUUUCAUAGCUACGUUGGGCAUCACCAAGAAACUAAGAAUUUCCAGUGAAACAUGCAACCAAAUUAUUUUUGAAGUCAAAGCACAUGACGCUUUAUGUACGAUGAAUUACAACCUCUACUUACCAACCGAUACUCAAGUGAUGCUGGUGUGUUCUCUCGAGGUUAGUACCGUGAAGGAGAUAUUAAACAUUCGCAGAAUCGUUGAUGUUACUGAAACAGAUAAAAGUGUUCCAACUACAUUUAUUUUCGGCCGGGAUAUCGGCAUAAAAGAAUCGAAGACAGUGCAAUUCAAAAAUCUUAAAUCGAAUAAGUUAGGAAGCACAGAUCUUGCCAGCCGACUUAAAAACAACAAGUUGACUCAAUACGUCUCUGCAUUCGCUAAUCAUUGCGGGGGUCGUCUGUACUGUGGUGUUCGAGAUGACGGAAUAGUCGAGGGGCAGAAAGUAAUGGACGAAGAAAAAGAAGACUUGAUUAAGAAAGUCAGUGAGUGUAUAAACGAGAUGAUAUGGCCUGAUUAUUGUGGUGAGCCACAAAGGGGAAGACAUGGGCAGUGGGAUAUCUCUUUCGAGCCUGUGACAGACGACGAAGGUAGCCCGAUCCGAUUAACAUUUGUUAUCGUGAUAUUUGUAGCUGCUUGCCAAGGAGGCGUAUUCUGUAGUGAACCAGAGAGUUACCACAUUGUUGAUGACACAGCCAAGAAAAUGACAUUUGCGGAGUGGAAAAGAAGAUKUUUUUAUCCGAUCACGGAGCGAGACACUAAGAUAGUCCCUACAGUGUCACGGAUUUGUUGGAGUUCGCCGAAAUUAAGGCUAUAUUGUGACAAACUUGAUGGAGAACUGCUGAGAGAAGUAAAUAACGGAAAAUGGGAUAAAUUUAAUCAACAUCUUGCAGAGUUGCAGAAAGGCGAUAACACGGGUGUCGAGGAGCGAUUGGUUGUCUUAUCAAAGCGGUAUUUGUUUCAUUACAGAAAGAGCCAGUACGAAGAAGCCAAAAAUUGUCUCACAGACUUUGAUGUUCUUUUAUCAAAAACAGAAAAUACCACAAUUUUCGAUAUUAGGAGAAGCCUUAUACUUUCGGCAAUGGAACGAUCUCGUGGCAAUCACAAAGAAAGUUACGAAAUUGCAAGGGAUUGUUUAUUUAAAGUCGAACAGCUUGCUCCAAGUAUUUUGACUGCAGAAUUUUACGUGCACUUUGCCACCAUGCUCACGAUCAUCGAAAGCAACAAGGACCUAAAAGACUUGCUGAAGAAGGACUUACAAAACCGUUACGAUUUCAAAUACGAAGCCCUCUUAUUCUACAAUAAAGCACUCCGACAUCUGAAAGAAGCCGAUUACGUUCCAGAAUCAAAAACUGAUAUGCAACAAAAAACUUUUAUCAACAUGGCUAUUUUGAAAUUAGGUUGUUCGCUUUCUGGUGAUGUCGUAGAUGAUUUGGUCACUGAAGAGGACAUUAAAGUAGCAAUCGAUUGCUUAAAACGAGCAAGUGAUUUGGAGAUAGAUUCCGGUUCAAUGAAUGGUUUUCGUAAAUGCCAACAUAGCUUUGCGAAAUCCAGCCUUUCCUAUCGGAGGUCUCAAGCUCAAAAAACGCUAAAGAAACGCAUUGAUAUUCUUGAUCAUGCUAUAGAUGAAGCUGAAGAAGCUGAGGAUCGUGCUAAUAAACACCAUUUUGAUGAAUUAUCACGUUAUGCUAGACAGCACGCACGAGUGUUCAACUUGUUCAAGAAUGGAACUAGAUAAACUAUAUAACACUGGAUUACAGCAGUAAUAAUAAUAAGUUCCCAGGAGGGCGAUCUUCUGUACUUCUGUGAUAGAGAUGUCCCCUUUUAAAUGAUUGACAUUUACCUCAGUGGCCCAAUGACAAUAGGUAGGAUUUGAAAAUCCAAAGCAAGUUCUACAUUCUAAAAGAUGGGGCUGAAGUCAUUACCUGGUAGGUCUUGAAUUUGCAAAAGAAAAAGAAGAGAAAAUAAAGGAAAAAAGACGUUAAAGACCUGUACCGAGUUUUUAAUUUUGGUGUUUAAUCAUUAUGUCCUAACGUUGUAGUCGGACACAGUGCCCAUCCCUGAAUUUUUGCAGGGGUACUCAAAAUUAGUUGCGUUCACAUCAGUGCCCAGCGAGGAUUGUACUCUUGAGCACCGUGCUCAGGAACCAAGUGUGAACAGGCUCCAGGUAAACCAAGCCCUCAGCAAAAAAAGCUUCUGAACAGAAUUUUCAUACGAUUAAUAACUUAUAAGGGAGAUGAAACGUGUAUCACUAUAACCAUGCUACAAAAUAUUCAGAUAUGCAAAUUAGGAGUUUUGAUACCAUAUUUGGAAAUAUGGGUUUGGUUUCAAGAUGGCCGCUUCUCUCACAUGCCAAACUCGCUGAAUUUCCGACUUUCAGAGGAGAUUUAUUAAAUCUUCCAAUCAAACAUGUGUAAUAUAUGCCUGUAAUUUAGUUUUGGGAGUUUUUGAAGCAAGAGGGCGUGAUUUACUAGAAAGAAAUUUGUCAAGAAGAAGUUUAAUAUUUCGGAGCAUCACAAAAAGAAAUGUAUGGCUGUUACAUGUUUCAACUCCUUAUGAGUUUCUGGAUUAAUGCUAACGAUUCGACCUUGAGGGAUAUUCGUUCCCUCUCCAACCACUAUUAUGAACAGAACAGAACAGAACAGACAGAACAGAACAGAAAGGAAAUCCAACCCACGUCUUCGGUAUUCUAGUCCRAUGUGUUAACCACUACACUACAAGGACCAACCACGCUUGUAAGCAGCCGGAAUAUGAAAUGUAGGGUACUCGUGAGGAGCCCAGAGCGAUUCCCGCCAAGGGUAUUUGAUAUUUUUUUUCCUAUUCUCUCUAUUUCAUUACACACACCGAACUACUACUAUACUAUGUCUAUCCUUUGCGUACAUAUUUGCGGUGUUCAACUUACCUAUAGAGAAAAAAUAUCACUCUGGGAUCCUCACGAGUACCCUACAUUUCAUAUUCCGGCUGCGUUAUCAGCGUGACUGGUCCUUGUAAUGUGUUGGUUAACACAUCAGACCAGAAUACGGAAGACGUGGGUUCGAUUCCCCCGCCAAGGGCAUUUGAUAUUUUUCUCCUAUUCUCUUAUAUACAAUCAUUAGCCAAGCUUUGAAUAAGAGUGACGUACUGUUGAGAGCAUAACGCAUGCCCAAUUUUUCUUCUCCACAUGUGUGUCAUCUCACGUUCAAGUGUGCACCACGACAUGUGCAGGAAGUAAUCACAUGACUAUUACUGGAUGGAAAAUAAAAAUAGACUCCCUUA